CUUCUGCAGCAAUCAAUGCUCCCAGCUGUCUUUUGUUGGCAGACACCUUGGCCACCCUGCUUGAUCCAGUCAUAGAAAGGCAGUGGAGAUCUGCCAGCUCUGCCUUCAAGGGGAAUAUGGAUUAUGCGUAGAAAAAGAACAAAGAUCCAUGCCUGCCCCAACAACAAUGCACCAACCACCACCUGCAGCCAAGGAGAAACUUCUGUAACCUGGAACACUUGUCCUUUUCCAGAGAACUUUAAAAAAUUAAAACCUUCUCAAUUUCCUCCAAAAACUGAAUAAAAACUGACCGUCCCUUUGUCUCUUCA